GCCUUGCGAGAUGCUUCCUUCUGGAGGAGAGCGGCUCCCCGGGAAGCGGAGAAACAUCUCUGAGCCGGCGGAGCCCAGUGGAUCCAAGGCACAGAUGUUCUUUUAGCAUUGCACACAGGAAGCCCCUUGGCAAACGAUCAAAGAGCACAGUCCCAGCUGGCAGACGUCUUGGGCUGGACACCUCCAGAAGCAGAGCCGCAGACCAUGAGAACAUCGAGUUUACGUCAAAUUGUGCAGAGCUCACCCUGGAGGCGCCGCGGGGCCUAAGAAAAAUAUAAGGUGGGAUUCAAGAAGAAAGUUACCAGGCCUCCUCAGAGGAAGCAGUGCAAAGCCUGCCUUGUGCGUGGGGUGAGAUACCCGUCAGUUCAGCGGUCACCGAUCCAGACUGGAAGCGGACUCAGGCCUGGAGAGGCCCAGGCCCUUCCAGUACCAGUGGGGGCAGCUAGGACCCCACUCUCAGGGAUUUUAGCUGUAGCUCUGAGAGCCAGAAGCCGGGACUUGCUCAGCUGCCAGAGGGAUGGAAGCCAUUCUGCCUUCCUCAGGAGAGGGGCCCAAAUGAGCCCCUCCUCGGACUCGACUGGCAGAGCUCCAGGGUCUCCCCUGGACGCCCCAAAGCAUGAGCAGUACGGUUUCCUCUUUUCUCCGCAGGAGUGAGCCCUCCCUGCCUCUCUCCUGAAUUGUUUGGAAGCGAGAUGACAUUUGGUCGCACGGGGGCGCUCGUGUUCUUCAAGCAGCAGCAACUGGCCUGGCGCAGGAAGAGCUCUGGCUUGGGUUUGCUCCAAGGUCCAGGAGACCUUGCAGGAGGGAUUUGAACCACUCAGCUGCUUACCCACAUCAGAUGAGCGCCAUAGCAACCUUGCCAGUGCAGCGCUUCGCAUUACACAGCAAAACGGUGCAACCAGCCCGGAGCAUCAGGGGAGUAGUACUCAGCCCUAAAAGAAGGGAAGGAAAUCAGGGUUUGCAGGAAAACGAGUGAAACUGGAGCUCAUCAUUUUAAGUGAUAGAAGCCAGACACAGAAAGGCAAGCAUCCCAUGUUUUCUUGCGUGUGUGGAAUUCAGGGGGGAAAAAAAAACAACAUGAAAGAAGAAGAGAGAUGAUUAGAGACGAGGGAGAGGAUUGGAAGAUGGGGCCAGGGGAAGAGGAGGGGGUAAGAUCAAAGUACACACGUGCGUGCGUGGAAAUGAGCAGCAGAGUUACUGCUGCGUAACCAACGUGCAUCAAAGAAACAAAAAAGACCCAGAAGAACGGGGUGUGCACAGUGCUGGGCACAAGGACAGAAUUUGAAACAGCACCAGCCCCCCCCACCAGGUCACCCGGAAGAUGAAACAGUCUAGCAAGGCAGGGCUUGUAAAGUAACCCCCAUUCCUAAAUAGCAUGUUUCCGUUAUUGUGCCGACUUCUGCAGCCCAGAACCCCCUAGGCAGUCCUGUCCCACUGUGCCUUUGGCCUUUAGCGGAGAAAUUGGCCACAGGUGCACCUGCUUUUGCAGGGAGGUUUCCCAUCCAACACCAACUCUGCAGGGGCUGCACUGGGUGACACUUUCCCUGCCUCAGCCGUCAGUCAUGGUGGCCUCUGGGCGCUGGGUUUAAUUGUUGUUUGUGAGCUGAUUAAGCCAGGCCCAGUCUGCAUCCGUCACCAGGCUCUUAUCUCCCAUUCCGAAGACAUAUGACUGACAAGAGUAAGGCGCUCAGUGAACACUGGCUCUGCUCUAAUGUGUGUGUGUUUAUCGAUCUCCAUAUGUAGAGCGGCAUGAGAACACUUACAGCAAACCGAAUGUGAAGCCAUAACUAAGAACGCUUAGAAAAGAGGCCGCGAGAACGCAUGGGUGCGUUAUGCACCGCGAAGCCUCUCACCAGCCCUGGGAGGAAAGGGCUGUUCUCAGCCUGCCUACUUCGCAGAUGAAGCUGAGGCCAGAGAUGCCAGAGGACAUUUCAGCACCCGUUACCUUUACCGGGUCGCAGCCUCAGAGCAGAGCUGACAGUCAAGCUUUUAAAGGGCUAUCACAGCACCUGGUACACAGUGUACACCGAGUUCCCAGUGGCCGUUAUCACGGGAGGCUCGUAAGAGGCCCGAAACAGGCAGCCUGGGGAAAACCCCCCACUCCUCCCUGAUCUCCUCCGCAUGGCGGCUGGAGCUGGGUUAUCUCAUGGAGGCCUUUUGACCUCUCAGAGAGUGGGGGUCAGGGCUGGGGCAGCAGGGGCCGCAUCUGUCACAUGAGAGAGCCCGGGA